UACGGGGGGGGCAAGCGUUGUUCGGAAUUACUGGGCGUAAAGGGCUCGUAGGCGGCCAACUAAGUCAGACGUGAAAUCCCUCGGCUUAACCGGGGAACUGCGUCUGAUACUGGAAGGCUUGAAUCCGGGAGAGGGAUGUGGAAUUCCAGGUGUAGCGGUGAAAUGCGUAGAUAUCUGGAGGAACACCGGUGGCGAAGGCGGCUCUCUGGUACGUGACUGACGCUGAGACGCGAAAGCGUGGGGAGCGAACAGG
rnacentral:rRNA from 1 species